CUUGUGCGUGCGUGCGCGUAUGUCGGUGCAGGCGACUUAUCACCUCGUUUCUCACCUCAUCUGACGCUGUCGUCACCCUGGGGAUCCACAUCCCCCCUCCCUCCUUCGCCCCACCAACUAUUUCUCUAUCUUCACGAACAGCGGCGCACAUUGCCCCGGCGCAGCGGCACCUUUUUACUUUUCGUUGUUGUUGUACUCAACAAUGACGAGCCAAGAGCGCCAGGCAGCCGUGCUGGCGCUCGUGCGCCGACUGCUGCCGCUUGUCCAGCCGGACUUGCCAGUCCACAGCCCCACGCACUUUACGCAGCUCUGCGAUGGCAUUGCGCUGUUCGCGAUGCUGCGGCUGGUGGCCCCCAACUCGUUCCCGUCCACAUGCUCUGAAUCCAACGAGGAGGGCGCGGUUGUCUCCUUGACGGGGCCGAUGCUGGAGGAGGAUGCGCAGCAGCGAAAGCACAACAUGUGCGCGCUCCUCCGCGACAUUCGCGCGUACGCUCAGGAAGCCAUGCACACCACAUCCUCAACGCCUGUCACGCAGGGACUCGAUCCGGCGGUGCUCGCUGGCUUGCCAGGGGCUGAAGAUGACGGUUGUGCCGCAGCAGAAGCGGCGCAGCGGCAGCAACUCACGCAACUGGUUGGUGUCGCUGUCGCUCUUGUCGUGCUCAGUGGCGUGCCUGCUGUCUUGAGCGAGGUCAAGUCUCUGCCUCGGCAGGAGCAGGUGGUGUUGUCGGAUUGGGUGAAGGAGAUAAUGCGCGCCUACCAGUUGCAGCCCCGCCACCACGCCACCGCUGUAUCUGAGCCGGGCCCGUCCGGCGUGUCGGCACAUCUUCGCCAGACAGUGAGCCCGCAGCCUGCCAGCAGCGGGUUUGCGGCAGCCUCGCCGAUGAUCAGACGGGGCGCCACCGGCUUCUCCCCGUCGCCCCUGUCCCACCGUGGUGCCAGCUCGAACGCCGCCGCCGCGGGCGAGGAGGAUGAGGGCUACUACCGCAACGCCACCUACCAACUACGACGGGAGCUAACCGAGGUGAAGGCGCAACUUGCCGCAUUGCAAGACGCCUACAAGGUGAGUAAGGAGGACAAGGAGAUGGCGGAGGGCAAAUAUCGACUGCUGCUCGGCGACCAGGCAAAAAUGUCACCCACGCUAGCUGCCACGUCCGCGGCGGCGGCAACAGAGGGCGGCGAUAGCGAAGCCGGGGCCGGCGGCAGCAGUGAUAUCUUGUCUGUGUGGCAGCGGCGCUGUGCGCAGAAGGACGAGACCAUUGCCGCCCUAACGGCGCGUGUGGAGCAGCAGUCGACGCAGGUGACCGCGCUGAAAGAGGCGACAGCUGCCCACGAGAUGGCACUGCAGGCGUUGCGCCGCCGCCUCAAGACAGCGGAAGAAGGUGUCAUGGUGAAGUCAGAGGAGCGACGCGAGGCACUGCAGAAACUCGCGGUAGCGGAGGACAAGCUUGCUGCGCAGAUGAAGGCGCGCGUAGAGCUGGAGACGCAGGUGGAGGAGCUGCAGUCGCGUUUGCUGGUGCUGGAGCUGGAGCAGGACCGGCUGCAUGGGCUCGGCAGCGAUGAUGCCGCCCAGCUCAACACCUCCUUCGCCUCCAACGGGUCGGUUGACCGCGUGCUGGCAUUGGAGAACGAGCUGGAUGAGGCCCGGCAGCAGCGCGACAGCCUGCAGCGGCAGGUUGGCAUUCUGCAGCGCCAGGUAGCCGCCAUGGUUGCUCCCGUCGCCGACGUGUCCACGGCCAACGAUACGUGGCGGGCUCAGCUGCGCCAGGUCGAGCGAGAGAGGGAGGACCUGCGGCAGCAGCUCACCACCGCCCUGGAGCGCGUCGGCGGACUUCAGCAGCAGCUGACGGCGAGCGGCGCCGCGGCUGCCGUGGUGGACGCCAGUGGUGUUGGCGCCGGCCAGGCUGGACCAGCCAGCGGCACUGCGAAUGCUGACGUCAGCAUUAUGAGCGUGGAGGAGGGCAGCGAGCUGGACAUGGGGUUGCUUGACGAAGGCACUGACUCUCCGUGCGGGCGAGACACGGGUCUCACACCGUGCAGCAAAACCCGCGAACCGGCGUGCCGUGAACAGGUCAUUCUCUCCUCGCUUCUUCUCCAGUACAGCUACCGCAACCUCCUACUUCAGCAGCACCAGACUCUGCUCCACAAGGAUGCCAUGGAAGCCGAGGCGGCGCGGCGACGGCAGGCGGAGGAGCACCUAGAGAUGAUGCGGCAGACGCCGACGUCGGUGCUGACGAAGCAGCGGCGGGAUGUGGAGCAGGGAUUACUGGAGACGGUGCUCUUGGGGGCAAAAUUACGCAUGAUGCAAGUGGAGAGUUGAUGCGCAUGCGAUGAUGCACAGAGGACCUUCUCUCUCCUCACUUCUUCCGCCCGCUCACGCAUGUGUCUCUCUGUCUGUCUCUGCAGAAUGCGAGGCGCCUAUCGGCGAGAGCGCCUGCGGCGAAGGCGGCGUUGCGCGUAUGUACAUGUAAGGGUUAGGGGCGCAGGCCAACCAACACGCAUGUGGAGAGAGAGAGGCGAAAGGCGAGAAGACGAUGAUGAUGAUGUAUUCUCACCUCUGUAAAGACGCAUGAGGGA
rnacentral:misc_RNA from 1 species